GACGAACGCUGGCGGCGUGCUUAACACAUGCAAGUCGAACGGAAAGUCCCUGCUUUUGUGGGGUGCUCGAGUGGCGAACGGGUGAGUAACACGUGAGUAACCUGCCCUUGACUUUGGGAUAACUUCAGGAAACUGGGGCUAAUACAGGAUAGGAGCUCCUGCUGCAUGGUGGGGGUUGGAAAGUUUCGGCGGUUGGGGAUGGACUCGCGGCUUAUCAGCUUGUUGGUGGGGUAGUGGCUUACCAAGGCUUUGACGGGUAGCCGGCCUGAGAGGGUGACCGGCCACAUUGGGACUGAGAUACGGCCCAGACUCCUACGGGAGGCAGCAGUGGGGAAUAUUGCACAAUGGGCGGAAGCCUGAUGCAGCAACGCCGCGUGCGGGAUGACGGCCUUCGGGUUGUAAACCGCUUUCGCCUGUGACGAAGCGUGAGUGACGGUAAUGGGUAAAGAAGCACCGGCUAACUACGUG
rnacentral:rRNA from 1 species